rnacentral:rRNA from 1 species
CGGGACGGGUGAGUAACGCGUGGGUAACCUGCCUCAUACAGGGGGAUAACGGUUAGAAAUGACUGCUAAUACCGCAUAAGCGCACAGGGUCGCAUGACCUGGUGUGAAAAACUCCGGUGGUAUGAGAUGGACCCGCGUCUGAUUAGCUAGUUGGCGAGGUAACGGCCCACCAAGGCGACGAUCAGUAGCCGACCUGAGAGGGUGAUCGGCCACAUUGGGACUGAGACACGGCCCAA